rnacentral:rRNA from 1 species
UACGUAGGGUGCAAGCGUUGUCCGGAAUUAUUGGGCGUAAAGCGCUUGUAGGCGGUUUGUCGCGUCUGCUGUGAAAUUUCGGGGCUCAACCCCGAACUUGCAGUGGGUACGGGCAGACUAGAGUGUGGUAGGGGAGACUGGAAUUCCUGGUGUAGCGGUGAAAUGCGCAGAUAUCAGGAGGAACACCGGUGGCGAAGGCGGGACUCUGGGCCGAUACUGACGCUGAGGAGCGAAAGCGUGGGGAGCAAACAGG